rnacentral:snRNA from 1 species
UUGCUUGCUUUGGAACACAUUUAUUAAAUUGGAACUAUACAGGGAAGAUUAGCAUGGCUCCUAUAAAAGGAUAACACACAAAUUUAUGAGCCAUUUCAUAUGUUU